rnacentral:tRNA from 1 species
GCUGCAGCCCAGCUGGUUAAUGCGCGUGUUGAGAACUAAGAGGUCGCCGGUUCGAAUCCGGUCCAACG